GUUACCACUGGUAUCCCAAAUUUCCACCUAAGGCUUACAUACCUGAGCAGCACCUGGCAUCUCUGCCUUUAUGCUCUAUAGUUCAUGUGUCUGACAAUUUCUUUUUGAACUUGUUUCUCCUUUUGCUGCCCAAGGGCCAUGAGAGAGAGCCACAGAGCAGAGCUUGCUUCUGUGUCGUAAGUAUCACCUUUGUUUGCACAACUCAAAAUUUCACCUGAUGUACCCUCCUUCUUGGACUGUGAGCACCAGGUAAAAAUGUUUCCCUUUUCACUUUCUCUAUACCACUUCCAUCCAUCUUCCCUUACCCUCAGUUUCUCCUCAUGCCAAAAAAACUCCAAACCAAACAACUGUAAAACAGAGGUUCUGCUUUUUGCCUUUUUCUAGCUUUACUCCGUUCUUCAGUAAAGUUCUGCUGGUACGAGUGCAAACUGGACUGAAUCAGGAGUCUGGACUCUUAACGAGUGGCACUCAAAAGUCUGCUGUGAGUCCUCCCAAACUCUUGAUCCUGACAUUUUCUCCCAAUACACUAUGUCAUCUCUGGUUCAUGUCCCUCUCUUCCAUUUUUUUUAUUUCUCCACAAUGGUAAAUAUAACUGCUAAAUAUCUAUAUCUAUCUAUCUAUCUAUAUAUAUCUAGAUAUCUUUCUUGUAAUGCUUAAGAACUGACAGAGCCUAAUAGUAACAGUCCAAUGCUGCAGAACAUUGAUUGCCACAGGAAGUGGCAUGGAGAUCACUUUCUUUUUAAAUACUGGUAAAAAAAAUCCUUUUGCUUUUCUCAAAGGCAAAAGGAUUUUUAUAAUGUAAUGCUUGUAAAAAGGGCAAAGAAUUAGCCUCUGCAACUUGGUAUCUGCUAUCUGGAGCAGUUGACCAUACCUGUCCACAGGUACACAUGGCUUCCCUUGGUUCUCCUCUGUCAACACAGAACAAGUCCAUUUGCUUUGGCAAAGCCUCUUCAUUAGUUGAGCAUCAUCAAUGAGACUCUUCAAUCACUUUUCAGAAAGCUAUACAAGCUUUCUUAGCUUCAGGUUUGAGUUUUUUUUGUUUUGUGGUUUUUUAAUUAGAAAGUCCAGGGCAUAGUACUCUAUAGGGAGAAAUAAUCUCCUGAGGUUUGAUUACAGUUCUUUACAGACUUACAGCAGGGCCUGGAAAAAGAUGCUUAAAUACUCUGUAUCUCUUAAAAACAAAACAAAAAUAAUGAAAAGAAAUGUCACUUUCCUUGCUAGGAUAAUGCAAAAUCUGGAUUAUAACAAUUUUCACAGACUUUGCAAGAAGACAUAGAAAACUGAGAACCCAUGUUCAGAAAUGAGCCUUCUUAUUACUUAUUGGGUUUUAUAACUCAAUAUUUGUUGUGCAUUUCAAUUUAUUGAGGGCCCAACACCAGUUUCCAUCUCAUUCCCUAAAGUGAGCAGUAGGUGGUUCUGGGGAAAAUUACUUUCAAUGCUAAACAGUGCCUUAUCCCAUAAACGGUUUCACUUUGCCUCUGAUACAUAUUAAGUCUGCAAAAUCAUUCUACUGAUUCUUGAGCUCAUUCGGACAGGUCUACUUGAGGAAUCCAAUGCCAUUUUCUUAGAUUAAGCGGAGAUGCAAAUCAGGCCAUGUGCAAACAUAUUAAAAAAUACAAAAACUAUCCUCAUAGGCAUUGCUAACUGACAGAAUCUGGUUAAUUCUGUGUUUUUCCUCUGAGCAUUAUUUCUCUACUACAUGGGAAGCUGUCGGCAGUAAGGUAAAUUUAUUGAGCUUGAAUCCAGAAAUCCCUUGCCUUCAGUAGAAGUGCUUUGACUUACACUACUGCAGAACCUUUCCCGGCACAUCUUGUACUGAUUAUUAAGUCUUUGCCUAACCAUUGAUUCUAAAUCCUCUCAUACAACUGGAAAGCUUCUGAGGCAGGGAUGGACUUAGCCAGCAUCUUAGUUUUGUAAGAACGUGGCACUUGUUCUCAGGACUUUUCUGGAAGAGGGCUGUAUGGAGGGUGAGGUGUACUUUUCCUGUAACAUGUUCGCAGUGAGUGGCCCCGCUGGAAGUCACAGCUAGGGUUGGAUACUGCCCUAAUGUUCUCCUCAAUGGAUUGUGCCCAUUCUCCCCAUUGCAGGCAGUGGAUUGGGAAUCUGCAAAGACGAGAGCUCAGUCCUCCAGGGACUGCUGGUGGAAGAGGCAGUGCCACAUGCUCCCUGUGGAGCUGAUACUGGGUAUUUUCAGUAUUUUCCAAGAAAAUUUUGCUGAUGUGGGUCCCCCUUUGUUAUUUGCAGGGAAGUAUUUAAGGCACCAUGGCGAAAUAGAGGCAGUUCUUCAAGUGAGCCAUAUCCAAAUUGGAUGGACUGGCAUUUCUGUCUAUGGAAUACUGAUCUUAACAUUUCUUGGUGCUUUUGGAGGGGUGAAACACACUUAUAUUGAGUAACUUGGGCAGCAGUGAUAGGACAAUCAAGAUCCCAGCAAGGAAAGAAAGGCAACCAAGUGCCCCUGUAAGAGGUUUUGAUGAGCAAAAGGAGAUGCUAGGGAUGAUGAUUCCACCACUUCCCUGGACAGCCUAUUCUCAUGUCUGAGCACCCUUUCGGUGAAGAAAUUUUUCCUAAUAUCCAACCUAAAACCUCCCCUGGCACAACCUUACUUACUUGGGAAGUAAGUAAGUACUUCCACCUGGCUACACCCUUCUUUCAAGCAGCUGUAGAGAGCAAUGAGGUCCUUCCUGAGCCUCCUCUCUCCAGGCUAAGCAACCCCAGCUGCCUCAGCAGCUCCUCAUGGGACUUGUGCUCAGACUCUUCACCAGCUUCCUUGCCCUUCUCUGGACACAUUUCAGUUCCUCAGUGUCUUCCCUGAACUGAGGGACCCAAACUCAACACAGGAUGAUGCACAGCGUGGCCUCACCAGUGCUGAGUACAGGGGGACAAUCACUACCCUGAUCCUGCUGGUCACACCAUUUCUGAUAUAAAAUUUUUGGCACUGGGCUGCCUGGAGAGCAGCCUUACUGAAGCUGUGAUGGGAUACCUUAUAAAUGGGAGACCCCAGGGAAGGUACCCUCUUGCUGAUGCAGCCCAAGGACAGCCUGGCAAGGCACCACUGAUAGGCUGGGGCGCAGGCAGAGCAAAUGCCUUGGGGAAAUGCACAGGGAAACUGGCUGUCCCCCUGCAAAUUCCCAAGCAGUUCCAGAUGCCUGAUAAGACAUGGGAGCCUGUUCUCCCCUCUGUGCUGGCACUGCAACACCAAGUGUGCACACACAGACACGGGUAUGCACAGAGCACUGGUGGGCAGCACUAAUGUCCUUUGGUGCUUUAAUGCACACCUUGACACCCCGUGAACAUCAGAACUCCCUCUUACCACCUCUAGAGCCCAUGUAGGCUGUUUCUAAGCCUAACCCCAUUUUGGCCUUGACUUUGCUCCUUUAGCAACAACAGCAAGACUCACACGGCGUAGCCAUAAAAAUCUUCUGUCAGAAGCAAAGCGUGGACGUGUGUUUGCUUUUCACUGACAGUGCUGAGCUGGGGCAUUUCACACCUCCCACAUGAGAAACUGAUGGGUUUUUUAAAUCUUCUACUCCACUACAGGACCCGAGGCAAACUUCCUCCUUUUUUUCUCUGCUAUGAACCUCGAAAGAAGUCAAAAGAGUGACCUUGGGUUUAUAUCUCUGAUGGCAAGAACAAGAUCUGCCUGAAAGCGAGAUUAAAAAAAUUUGCACUGUAAGGACAAACAGGUUGCUCCUAUAAAAUUCUCAACAUACAACAAAUUGGGUUGUAAAGCAGGUACUGAUAAAUCACAUCUUUUAAGUAACAGAAAGCUUAUGAAGUCACAGCACUCACACCUUUGCUUCUUUGUUAUUCUGUAUCUUUUUCUUACUGUAAAUCAUUGCCACUGAGUUUAAUAGGGCUUGCACAAUAUUGUAAGUAUCUUUUAAAUAGUCUAAUUGCUAUUUGUGUUCCCACUCAUGCUUGAAAGCUUUUUUUACUAGAGGGGAAAACUUCCAUUUUCCAAAUGACUCAUUUGCAAUGAAAACUGAAAAAAACCCCAACCCUGUUUGCAAUGAAAUUGAGUAACAGGGGAAGGCAUUUUUACGUGAUGCACAGUAUAUCAGUUGGGCUUUUUGAGUAGCUGUUUUAAGGUUCAGCACCAUAUUGCUCAUGGACACUGGGCCUGUUGAUCAUAGCCAGCCCAGUAGCUGAAGAAGGUGCGUUUCUAACCCUUGUUUUUUCAAAUAACCCUUUAUAUUGGACCUUCACAUAACCGAAGUAGCUUUUUUGCUGAGGACAAAUGAUGCCUUGGAUAAGUGCAGGUGCAGUGGGGGCUGGUACAGCACAAGCCAUUGUGGUGCAAGCUCUCCACUCCCUGGCACAGAGGACUCCAGCCCAACACAGAGCACAUGGGGCUGCAUGUUCUUACACCCCCUUUAGCCCUUCUGCUGAGACCACCCGUGCUGCUGCCACCUGAGAGAUGAGUUUUGGGAACUCAUCUAGGAAAGCAGCAGGCACCCAGGCUUUAAUGAAGCCGGUGAAGCACCCCGGCACCAGCACCAUCAGGCAACCAACCCAGCGUUGCUGGAGACCUGACACGAGAGGGGACAGUCACUUCCACUGCUUCCAUCCAGCAUUUCACUAACCUCUAAGCACCCUCUCCCCAACAGACUAAAUGCUGUACAGUUUAUUCUGGGGGCUACUGUUUACAGAUCAGCCAAAGAUGGGAGGUUUCCCCUCUGGUGGCAGAGGAGCGAGAGAAGAGAAAGAGAUACGGACUAUUGGUCCACUUACAUCAUUGGGAAUAGUAAGUUCAUGGGAACUGGUUGGAGUAGUGGCAUCCAGUCCUAUUCAGGGGACAGAGGGAAAAUGUUACGCCAGCUGUUUGCAAGAAGGGCAAGACACAACAAAUGAAAUUUUAAAGAAGAAAACAUACAGAAGGCAGGAGAGAAAAAAAAAGAGAAGAGAGGAGCAAAGAAAAAAAGAGAACUGCUAGUGAAACAGAAAAGAAAGCAAAGGAUGCAAAACUCUGAGGGCUGGACUAAUUUUAAAUGAGUAUUAUUUUAAUUAACCUUUAACCCACCAAAGCAACAAAUGUUACAUGAGAUUCCACAAGGUCAUAAAAAGCUUCUAGAAAAUGAAGGGUUUCCCCUAAAAAUAGUCUCCAAAGUUUGUUCUAAACACAUCAACUGAGAAAUUAAUGGAUGGUUGAAAUUUGACCUGUCUACCAGGAGUUCUAGAAUAUGGAAAAUUAAAGUGGAUGUCAAAUGAACAAUUAGCAGAACAUAAUACAUAGAUAUGAAAAAUAAAAAAAUAACAAAGUAAGGACAAGGAAACUAACUUAGGAAAAUUUGGAAAUUAUAUAUGUGGGAUUAGUUGCUGAAGAAAUGUUGGGAAGGGUAAUUUUGGAAGGGAAUGGACGAAAUACUCUAAGCUGCAUACAUUUGUUUGUAAAUUGGGUGGACAAAAGGAAAAUGCUCAGGAAAAAUGGAAUUACUGCUCUAACACACAGUGACAUUACAGAAACGUAUAUCUCACAAAUAUAACCAGGAAAAGAUCGGGGAGCAGCAUGUUAAUGACAAGAAUAAGGAAAAUACAAAGCUAGGAAAGGCAGUUUAGUAUUACUUGUAGGUAUUUUAUCAGAUACAUCAUAAAGAAACAAAAGAAUAUUUUGGAUGUCAUGUCUUAUGUUCUCUUUUUUGCUGUUUAUUGUAUUAUCUGUACAGACAUGCCAAAAAUACCAAUUUCCAACUAGAAAAGGUGGAAAAUAAAUACUCUACAGAAAAGUGA